rnacentral:rRNA from 1 species
CCUACGGGAGGCAGCAGUGAGGAAUAUUGGUCAAUGGACGCAAGUCUGAACCAGCCAUGCCGCGUGCAGGAAGACGGCUCUAUGAGUUGUAAACUGCUUUUGUACGAGGGUAAAUCCCGAUACGUGUAUCGGGUUGAAAGUAUCGUACGAAUAAGGAUCGGCUAACUCCGUGCCAGCAGCCGCGGUAAUACGGAGGAUUCAAGCGUUAUCCGGAUUUAUUGGGUUUAAAGGGUGCGUAGGCGGUUCGAUAAGUUAGAGGUGAAAUCCUGUAGCUUAACUACAGAACUGCAUUUGAAACUAUGAGU